CGCACAUGGUGUCACCGCCUGGGAGGAGAGCAACGUCCUGGAAGCAACUCAUUUAUUUAGAAAAUUGGCCAUUCAUUUUGAGCGCAACUGCUUUCAUUCAACAAUGGAGAUUUCAUUUUAUUUCUGAAUGUGCAUUUGGUAGUUUACUCACUUGGUUAUUAUACUGUCACGCAUUUUCUUUUAAUGCUUGUCCCAUGAUGGAUGUGUUUUCCUUUACCCAUUUAUUUCGCU
rnacentral:lncRNA from 1 species